rnacentral:tRNA from 1 species
CUCCGCUUGGUGUAGUUGGUUUAUCACGUCGGGCUGUAAUUGCAUAAUCUUCACGGGACUUAACCUCACGUGAUUGAUAUUCUCGGUACCUGAAGGUCCCUAGUUCGAUUCUGGGAGCGGAGA